rnacentral:rRNA from 1 species
GACGAACGCUGGCGGCGUGCUUAACACAUGCAAGUCGAACGGAAAGGCCUGCUUUCCCUUGUGGAUUGCGGGUGCUCGAGUGGCGAACGGGUGAGUAACACGUGAGUGAUCUGCCCCCAACUUGGGUAUAAGCCUGGGAAACUGGGUCUAAUUCCCGAUAGGACUGCAGGGUGGUGCCUGUGGUGGAAAACGAUUUUCUAGUGGUUGGGGAUGAGCUCGCGGCCUAUCAGCUUGUUGGUGGGGUAAUGGCCUACCAAGGCGGCGACGGGUAGCCGGCCUGAGAGGGUGGACGGCCACAUUGGGACUGAGAUACGGCCCAGACUCCUACGGGAGGCAGCAGUGGGGAAUAUUGCACAAUGGGUGGAAGCCUGAUGCAGCGACGCCGCGUGGGGGAUGACGGCCUUCGGGUUGUAAACUCCUUUCGACCGCGAGGAAGCCACCUGGUUGGAAGGGUGGUGACGGUAGUGGUAGAAGAAGCACCGGCUAACUACGUG